rnacentral:rRNA from 1 species
UACGAAGGGGGCUAGCGUUGUUCGGAAUCACUGGGCGUAAAGGGCGCGUAGGCGGCCGAUCAAGUCGGGGGUGAAAGCCCGUGGCUCAACCACAGAAUUGCCUUCGAUACUGUUUGGCUUGAGACCGGAAGAGGUUAGUGGAACUGCGAGUGUAGAGGUGAAAUUCGUAGAUAUUCGCAAGAACACCAGUGGCGAAGGCGGCUCACUGGCCCGGUACUGACGCUGAGGUGCGAAAGCGUGGGGAGCAAACAGG